GAGUUUGAUCCUGGCUCAGAACGUACGCUGGCGGCACGCCUAACACAUGCAAGUCGAACGAAGUAGCAAUACUUAGUGGCAGACGGGUGAGUAACAUGUAGGUAUCUACCCUAUGGCCUGGAAUAACACGAGGAAACUUGUGCUAAUACUGGAUAAGUCUUUACAGAGAAAGCUUUAUGCACCAUUGGAUGAGCCUGCACUUGAUUAGUUUGUUGGUAGGGUAAUGGCCUACCAAGACUAUGAUCAAUAGCUGAUUUGAGAGGAUGAUCAGCCACAUUGGGACUGAGACACGGCCCAAACUCCUACGGGAGGCAGCAGUGGGGAAUCUUGCACAAUGGAGGAAACUCUGAUGCAGCGAUGCCGCGUGAGUGAAGAAGGCCCUUGGGUUGUAAAGCUCUUUCGUCGGGGAAGAAAAUGACUGUACCCGAAUAAGAAGGUCCGGCUAACUUCGUGCCAGCAGCCGCGGUAAUACGAAGGGACCUAGCGUAGUUCGGAAUUACUGGGCUUAAAGAGUUCGUAGGUGGUUGAAAAAGUUGGUGGUGAAAUCCCAGAGCUUAACUCUGGAACUGCCAUCAAAACUUUUCAGCUAGAGUUUGAUAGAGGAAAGCAGAAUUUCUAGUGUAGAGGUGAAAUUCGUAGAUAUUAGAAAGAAUACCAAUUGCGAAGGCAGCUUUCUGGAUCAAUACUGACACUGAGGAACGAAAGCAUGGGUAGCGAAGAGGAUUAGAUACCCUCGUAGUCCAUGCCGUAAACGAUGUGUGUUAGACGUUGGAAAUUUAUUUUCAGUGUCGCAGCGAAAGCGAUAAACACACCGCCUGGGGAGUACGACCGCAAGGUUAAAACUCAAAUGAAUUGACGGGACCCGCACAAGUAGUGGAGCAUGUGGUUUAAUUCGAAGAUACGCGCAGANCUUACACACUUGACAUGUUCGUCGCGACUUUAGAGAUUAAAGUUUUCGGUUCGGCCGGACGAAACACNNNGCUGCAUGGCUGUCGUCAGCUCG
rnacentral:rRNA from 1 species